rfam:Xenopus tropicalis strain Nigerian scaffold_518_contig_7, whole genome shotgun sequence.
GCCUACGGCCAUACCACCCUGAAAGCGUCUGAUCUCGGAAGCUAAGCAGGGACGGGCUUGGUUAGUACCUGGAUGGGAGACCGCCUGGGAAUACCAGGUGUUGUAGGCU